AUCGAACGCUGGCGGCAGGCCUAAUACAUGCAAGUCGAGCGGUGCGGCGGACGGGUAAGUAAUGCCUAGUGAUCUGCCUGGUAGUGGGGGACAACGUCCGGAAACGGGCGCUACUAUCGCAUACUAUCAGAUAAGCCUAGGUAGGCUUAGCUAGUUGGUUGGGUAAGGGCCUACCAAGGCGACGAUCCGUAACUGGGCUGAGAGGAUGAUCAGUCACAUUGGGACUGAGACACGGUCCAGACUCCUACGGGAGGCAGCAGUGGGGAAUAUUGGACAAUGGGCGAAAGCCUGAUGCAGCCAUGCCGCGUGUGUGAAGAAGGUCUUCGGAUCGUAAAGCACUUUAAGUUGGGAGGCGGUACCAAAAGAAUAAGCACCGGCUAACUACGUGCCAGCAGCCGCGGUAAUAC
rnacentral:rRNA from 1 species